UUUUGAUAGAGGUCGCGAUCUUUAAAAGUACUAUUUGGUUAUCAGAUUAUUGCCAAAUACGAAAGGAAACAUCGCCGAAAUGUAAUGAGCUAUCUGAACUCAUUAUGUUGGGAUAAUAUAGAAUAUAUAUUAUACUCUCACAUUACCAUGUGGGGUGCUGUC
rnacentral:ncRNA from 1 species